rnacentral:misc_RNA from 1 species
UUUAAUUAUUUUUUAACACUCUCUCACUAGUGUAUUUAAAAAAGUGAUUUUCUCAACAGCAGUUUCAACAGUAAUGCCAAAUAGGCCCUACAUCUUUUCUCAAGGAAAAAGUGCUGAGAGGACUAAAGAGAAUACUGACCUGCACGUGAUAACUAAACAAACAACAAAUACUGCACCUGGAAUGCCAACAGAUAAUACAAUCAAUGCAUUAUACAAAGUGAAAUGACUACAAGUUGGAGAAGAAAUAGUACUACAGAAUUUCACCAGACUAUUUCUUUUGGUUUUAAAAGACAACAAAAUUGUGCAUGAGCCAUGAGCACAUGAAAAUGCCCAUGGGUGGUCAACCAGCUACUCAAAAAAAACAAAAAAUGCAGUUUCAAGUAUAGCAAGAAAUAUAUAAAGGCAAUGGUUAGUUCCCUUUGCAACAAAGGAGAUGGCAUUGUUAUAAAGAAUGUUCAAGGGCUAAAUGAAAUAUAAGUGUGCAAAACAUUCCCGAUCAAUGAUGUCCUAAGAAAAAUAGGAAUACAUUAAUUGUUGAGUACCAGCCUUGUAAAAGUUACUAACCAAUUGCAAUAGCCAGGUUGAUCAGUGCUGUCUUCCAUAUACCCAGGUAUUGCUCAAAAAACAUAUAAAACACUGAAUAUGGGAAAACCUCCAUCUGCACCAGAAAAGAAAUGUUAUCUAAUAGACAGCCUUAAUACUGCACAAAGCCAAUGAUGCAACCACUGUUUUGCAAAAAAUGCCAGUGAGCAUGAAUAAACAAGCAAAAAUAUUUUUAUUGAACAACAGGCUAAAAGGAUUAACUAUUUUACUUACUAUUAGUAGUAUGAUAAGAACCUAGAGUGAUAGUAACAUAGAAGAGAAGCAACAAGUGUCAGCUUCCAACACUGAAGCAGCAAAAAGAAUGCAAAAAUCUAACUAAAAAAGCUUGAUUCAUUUCAAGGGGAAGUAUUAUCAGGAAGACUUUGCAGUCAACCGGUAGUAUUGAUUUCUUACCUUUAAAGAAUCAGACACCCUUGAACUGAACUCUUUAGCAGCCCUCAUCGAAUUGACAUAGUCAAUCUGCUUGUUGAGAGGCGUGUGAUAUGUGCGGAAGGAUGAUGCUUGAAUAACACCAUUCUCAAUGCCUUCCAGUUCCACACUGCUGGUGUAAGCACCAUGGCCCCCUUUAGCACAAUCAGCAGACGGCAGAGCAUUAAGGAACCAUGGGAGUUUAUCCCUAAAUUGUGCUGUAGAUGGACGAUCAUUAUUCAAAUCUGAGUGACGGAAACACGUGGUACAAUCUUUGCAGACUCCACUGAGAUCACAAGAACCUGUAUCAGAGGAACAGCAAGGAGGCUGAUCAUCAGGAGGACAAUAACUCCCAUUUGUGAACUUCCGACAGCAACCAAAAGCUUCUGGAGAUAUCCAUACAAGAAAAUCAUCUAGCCAUGAAGCAGCAGGCUUAGCAAUGUAGCUGGAUUCAGGCGUCAAGGAUGCUCUAGCAAUCUCAUUUAAAAGAGAGUCUGAUUCACACUGGCUAAUGGAGCACAACUGAUUCGUGUGUCUUGAUUCUGAGCUGAGGAGCCGAGUACCAUCAGUUUGACAAGCUCAAGGUAUGAAAGCAUUAAUAAUGAUUUUUUAUUGAUAUCUUCCCUUGAAAUGACAACUAAACCUUCAAUACUUUUACACAAGUAGGCAAUCAGAAUCUAAAUACAUUUUCUAAAACAAAAGUGGAAGUUUGGACUAAGAAACAUUUUCUACCAGUUCUUCCACAGCCCCAGCAGAAAUAGUAUGCUUAUACAUUAUCAACAAACAAGAGUGGACUUAGGACUGACAUUAAUGGGAAAGAGAAUAAACAAUAUCAAACUGAAAGCCAAAAGAAAAUUUUGAAAAGCAAAAAAGCACUGGAUUACCUAUAAUUAUAGUUCUUCACGACAAAGUAUAGUGGGGGACCAAUUCUAAGAUACUCUGAAACAUUAUUAAAAUAGCCCUGAAGAUAUGAGUUCCGUGGAAGAACAAUCUUCUGUUCCAAACCAGGUUCAACCCUAGUGGAUAAUGCAAUACUAGCCAAUGCAAAGCCAAUAAAGAUGGAAAUGACAACUAUCUUAACUCCCCAAAGACUGAGCACAGGCGCAUGGACCCUCUUCAUAUAUUGAGCCAGCAAUCCAGGCCUUCCCCCACCAAUGCCUUUAUCAGAUUCAGCAUAUGAUGAAGAAAUUUUUAGACAUGGAACACAAUCAACCCUUUUAUCCUCCGCGCGCAAAAAGUCAAAAACUAUUAAAGCAACAAAAGCAGUAACUUGCAGAAGGAAGUCCAAAAGAACAGCUAGCGCAGCAAACAUAGAAAACACACGACAUGCUGGCAUAGGAAUAAAACUCCCAACUGCAAAUGCUAGCACCUCAGAUAGACUAGCAAGUGUUAUAGAUGGUCCAACUUCCACAAGUGCGUUGCUUAUCCGUCCUUCUAGUGGCAACUCCAAUGGCUGCCGCUUAACAGCAUGCACCAAUAUACACAUGUUGUCCACCCCUACUGCUAACACAAGAAAAGGAAUGACUUCCAUGAUGAUUAGUGUAGAUUUUACUCCAAUGGCACUAAACAAUCCAACUGAUCCAAGAACAGAAAGCAUGACAAGUAGAACUCCAGAAAGACCAAGCAACACCUUAGAUGAAAUGUAAAAAGAAGACAAAUGUGGUGUACCACCCAGGGUAAGAGAUAUGUACGCAAACAUCACAAGAUAACUUAUCAAUAUAGUAGUCACAUCUGCAGUACUUUCUCUUUUUAGUUCUUCCUCAAUAGAGCUUUCCGAUGAAAAAGAAAGUGUAAGAUUUUUCAGUUGAACCAUUUGCAACAAUUCCUCCUUCACUAACUGAAUAAAGGCCUUCUCCCAAGCAACAGCCUUAUCAGUUUUAUUCCCUUCUUUAUCAAUUGCAUUGUUUACUGGAUAAGUUACAAUAAAUGCAGAUGCCUCUGAAUAAUUGCUCCCUGAGAAACCUCCCAAAGCAGUGCUUGGAUCAAGAGGAGCUUUGAAGGUACUCAUACAUUUAUCAGCAGAGGUGUAAUGCUGCAAACAAUAAUGCACAUGCUCAACUCCCCCAUAAUUGUCAUAAUUUUGAGGAUCCAUUUGGAAAUACUAGUCACAGAGACACAGGAGAGAGUGGAGAAUGUUAGUAAAAAAAUUACAAUAAAAGCACAUAUAAGGCUGUAUUGGUUGGUCAUUAAAAUAAAUAAAAUAAAUAACAUGAAAACAACAAAACGAAAGCAGGCGUUAGUUCAGGUAUCAAUUCAUAGACAUAUCAAACAAGGAUAAGAUGAAAAGUUGAAAACAGCUUAGAACUCUUUUUUUUCUGGUUGGUUGGGGGGUUUUAGGUUAGGCGAGGGGGUGAGUUGAAGAAGAAAACAAGGCAGGAAAAAGAAAGGAUGACAUGGAAAUUGGCAAUAUCAAUAGAUUCAUAUUGAUACAUGUCCAAUAAAAAUAUCAGUGUGCCAACAUCACCUAAAAAAAGGGAAAACUGAGAAUGUAUCAGUAAUUAUUAUGUGGAUAUAAAAUGGACACAGCAUAGACUACUCAUUGUAGCAAACCUUUUAAAGUAUUAUAGAAAUGUCUUAGUAACUUGGAAUGAACAAGAGAAAAAGCUGUAAGUUGUGUUUUUAUAAUUGAAGCACCAAAUUGCAUCAACACCAAUGUGGACAACCAAGGAAGAACACAACCUGCAGAACACUUUGAGUAGCACAAUCUUGGUCCAGUGGCUUCAUACAAAUAUCAGUUAGAGAUACCAUUGAUCCAGAAUAGUUUGCACGGAUUCCAUCAACCUUCUUUUGUAUUUCAAAUAGCAACUUAAUAUUGUUCUCUGUCACAAUGCUUGGCAAUUUUGCAUCCUCAGCUUCAGGUGUAGUUGCUAGAAUUAGCUGCUCAAUUCUGUAAAAAGGAGCUAGGUGGCUGUCAAAAAAUUUUUUCUCUUCUGUGGCUUUACUCCCAGGCCCUACCCAUAGCUUCUCAGGUCGUGUCUCAACCUUAAAACGGAUUAGACCAAGACAAAGUAGAAGAACUACAGCCACCGACACGCUCAACACAUGUAUAGGACGUCGAGCAACCCAAGUUCCAUAUCUCCUGUAAAACAUUGACAUAUAUCCUUGCACAAUUGAAAGCUGAACCCUGUUUCCAGUUUGAGGAGAAUUUUCAAGCAUCUGCAUGGGGAGAUUCUCAUCCUUCCGCCUAAUUACAGAGUGGAUUUCACCACCAUCCAUGCUAUUUGGCAUUGAUUUCAUUCCAGAAGUUUGGUUCCUUUCUCUUUUUCGAUGAAACAAACCGCAACCCAAAAACAUGGAAAGCAACACGAUAUAAAGGAUUGUUAGAGCAAAGUCAAUGCAUUUGGCCUUAAGAGAUCCAAUUCUCACAGAACAGGAUGAUUUCUCAUGUUCUCGAGGAGGAGCUGUAUUGGCACAAACAGGAGCAGAUGGGCAAUCACCACAAGAACAACCGAGUGAAGUAUCAGCACAUGAAUAUGUAGAUACAUUCAUAGGUUUCAUUCCCGAUGACACAGGAGCAGUUGACUUGAAUGUAAUGGCAUAUGGUGAGCCUGGUAGAUUUGGGGCUGCUCGUCUACCAAUAAACGCAUACCAAUCUUUAAAGUUUUGAGCACCAGCCCCAACGAAGUCUAGAGCUCGAGAAUUCAUUGUACCAAACUUUACAUCCUUGCAAGAGUCAUAUAACCCUUCACCAAAAGCAUCAGUGAUAUAAAAAUCAAUUCCAUCCACAGUCAAAUUGUUUUUAACCUUGGAAAUAGAAGUCACAUUGACAAAUAAACUCUGAUGUGGAGAGCAGGAAAGCUCACAGAACAGAUUCAAAAAGUUUCUUAAGCAUGCUGGACAGCCAACAAGAAAAGGAAUCACUUGCUGCACUUGUGAUCGUAAAGUUUCAAACUGCGCUUCUGUGCAACAGACAUUGCCAGUGAUUGUUGGGCACAAACUUUGGAUCUUUUGUGAAAGCAAGUCAUCUGGCUUCUUAGAUGGAGAAUUGGAAGGACAAUUCAAUACUUUUCCAUCAUCACGUGCUCCACAGAUGUCGUACAUAGCACAAUAUUCUUCAGAAUGCCUUUCCCCAGAUUUUGCAUUGGAUGUCAAAAGCAAUCGUUUAUCAGAGCCCUCUGCAUGGAUUAUAGAUGCAAUAUAUAGAACCUGGAACAAAGAAAUCAAUAGAAGAAACUUCACUGUCCCACAUGGUGAGUCCAUUGCAAGCGAUACACAUACACAGCAAAGGCUACUGAUUACUGAAUCUGAUUACUGAAUAAGAGUGAACACAGGAGAGAGAGAGAGAGAAAUCGGAGAGGGAAAAAGCGAGCUUUUUAGCGUUUGGAUGGUGAAAGAGUCAAAAAGUUCCUGAAUUUAUAGUUGCUGAUCAGAGAAGAUAGGAUAAGUUACAACAGCAGUCUUCCCCUACGCUGGCAACCUGCACGCUUCUCCAGGCCGAAACUAGUAUACAUAAUCCCGUAUAUCAAGGAAUUCUUCCCUCUAUUUACGUAAUUACCCUUUCUUUCGGUUCCCUGUCUGUAAAUU